rnacentral:rRNA from 1 species
AAUGAACGCUGGCGGCAGGCCUAACACAUGCAAGUCGAGCGGUAGCACAGAGAGCUUGCUCUCGGGUGACGAGCGGCGGACGGGUGAGUAAUGUCUGGGAAACUGCCUGAUGGAGGGGGAUAACUACUGGAAACGGUAGCUAAUACCGCAUAACGUCGCAAGACCAAAGUGGGGGACCUUCGGGCCUCAUGCCAUCAGAUGUGCCCAGAUGGGAUUAGCUGGUAGGUGGGGUAACGGCUCACCUAGGCGACGAUCCCUAGCUGGUCUGAGAGGAUGACCAGCCACACUGGAACUGAGACACGGUCCAGACUCCUACGGGAGGCAGCAGUGGGGAAUAUUGCACAAUGGGCGCAAGCCUGAUGCAGCCAUGCCGCGUGUGUGAGGAAGGCCUUCGGGUUGUAAAGCACUUUCAGCGGGGAGGAAGGCGAUAAGGUUAAUAACCUUGUCGAUUGACGUUACCCGCAGAAGAAGCACCGGCUAACUCCGUGCCAGCAGCCGCGGUAAUACGGAGGGUGCAAGCGUUAAUCGGAAUUACUGGGCGUAAAGCGCACGCAGGCGGUCUGUCAAGUCGGAUGUGAAAUCCCCGGGCUCAACCUGGGAACUGCAUUCGAAACUGGCAGGCUAGAGUCUUGUAGAGGGGGGUAGAAUUCCAGGUGUAGCGGUGAAAUGCGUAGAGAUCUGGAGGAAUACCGGUGGCGAAGGCGGCCCCCUGGACAAAGACUGACGCUCAGGUGCGAAAGCGUGGGGAGCAAACAGGAUUAGAUACCCUGGUAGUCCACGCUGUAAACGAUGUCGAUUUGGAGGUUGUGCCCUUGAGGCGUGGCUUCCGGAGCUAACGCGUUAAAUCGACCGCCUGGGGAGUACGGCCGCAAGGUUAAAACUCAAAUGAAUUGACGGGGGCCCGCACAAGCGGUGGAGCAUGUGGUUUAAUUCGAUGCAACGCGAAGAACCUUACCUGGUCUUGACAUCCACAGAACUUAGCAGAGAUGCUUUGGUGCCUUCGGGAACUGUGAGACAGGUGCUGCAUGGCUGUCGUCAGCUCGUGUUGUGAAAUGUUGGGUUAAGUCCCGCAACGAGCGCAACCCUUAUCCUUUGUUGCCAGCGGUUAGGCCGGGAACUCAAAGGAGACUGCCAGUGAUAAACUGGAGGAAGGUGGGGAUGACGUCAAGUCAUCAUGGCCCUUACGACCAGGGCUACACACGUGCUACAAUGGCAUAUACAAAGAGAAGCGACCUCGCGAGAGCAAGCGGACCUCAUAAAGUAUGUCGUAGUCCGGAUUGGAGUCUGCAGCUCGACUCCAUGAAGUCGGAAUCGCUAGUAAUCGUAGAUCAGAAUGCUACGGUGAAUACGUUCCCGGGCCUUGUACACACCGCCCGUCACACCAUGGGAGUGGGUUGCAAAAGAAGUAGGUAGCUUAACCUUCGGGAGGGCGCUUACCACUUUGUGAUUCAUGACUGGGGUG